AGAGUUUGAUCAUGGCUCAGGACGAACGCUGGCGGCGCGCCUCAUACAUGCAAGUCGAGCGUGAAGCGGGACUUCGGUCCCGUGGAAAGCGGCGAACGGGUGCGUAACACGUGAGCAACCUGCCCCGAAGACUGGGAUAACCCGGGGAAACCCGGGCUAAUACCGGAUGUCCUCCUCUGAUCGCAUGGUCGGAAGAGGAAAUGUUCAGGCGCUUCGGGAUGGGCUCGCGGUCUAUCAGCUUGUUGGUGGGGUAACGGCCUACCAAGGCGACGACGGAUAGCUGGUCUGAGAGGACGAUCAGCCACACUGGGACUGAGACACGGCCCAGACUCCUACGGGAGGCAGCAGUAGGGAAUCUUGCGCAAUGAGGGAAACCUUGACGCAGCGACGCCGCGUGCGGGAUGAAUGCCUUCGGGUUGUAAACCGCUUUCAGCAGGGACGAAAUUGACGGUACCUGCAGAAGAAGGCCCGGCCAACUACGUGCCAGCAGCCGCGGUA
rnacentral:rRNA from 1 species